rnacentral:rRNA from 1 species
UCAAUGGCCGGCGUCUUACCAUGCAGUCGAACGAUGAUGCCCAGCUUGCUGGGCGGAUUAGUGGCGAACGGGUGAGUAAUACGUGAGUAACCUGCCCUUGACUCUGGGAUAAGCCUGGGAAACUGGGUCUAAUACUGGAUACUACCUCUUACCGCAUGGUGGGUGGUGGAAAGGGUUUUACUGGUUUUGGAUGGGCUCACGGCCUAUCAGCUUGUUGGUGGGGUAAUGGCUCACCAAGGCGACGACGGGUAGCCGGCCUGAGAGGGUGACCGGCCACACUGGGACUGAGACACGGCCCAGACUCCUACGGGAGGCAGCAGUGGGGAAUAUUGCACAAUGGGCGGAAGCCUGAUGCAGCGACGCCGCGUGAGGGAUGACGGCCUUCGGGUUGUAAACCUCUUUCAGUAGGGAAGAAGCGAGAGUGACGGUACCUGCAGAAGAAGCGCCGGCUAACUACGUGCCAGCAGCCGCGGUAAUACGUAGGGCGCAAGCGUUGUCCGGAAUUAUUGGGCGUAAAGAGCUCGUAGGCGGUUUGUCGCGUCUGCUGUGAAAGCCCGGGGCUCAACCCCGGGUCUGCAGUGGGUACGGGCAGACUAGAGUGCAGUAGGGGAGACUGGAAUUCCUGGUGUAGCGGUGAAAUGCGCAGAUAUCAGGAGGAACACCGAUGGCGAAGGCAGGUCUCUGGGCUGUUACUGACGCUGAGGAGCGAAAGCAUGGGGAGCGAACAGGAUUAGAUACCCUGGUAGUCCAUGCCGUAAACGUUGGGCACUAGGUGUGGGGGACAUUCCACGUUUUCCGCGCCGUAGCUAACGCAUUAAGUGCCCCGCCUGGGGAGUACGGCCGCAAGGCUAAAACUCAAAGGAAUUGACGGGGGCCCGCACAAGCGGCGGAGCAUGCGGAUUAAUUCGAUGCAACGCGAAGAACCUUACCAAGGCUUGACAUUCACCGGACCGCCCCAGAGAUGGGGUUUCCCUUCGGGGCUGGUGGACAGGUGGUGCAUGGUUGUCGUCAGCUCGUGUCGUGAGAUGUUGGGUUAAGUCCCGCAACGAGCGCAACCCUCGUUCUAUGUUGCCAGCACGUGAUGGUGGGGACUCAUAGGAGACUGCCGGGGUCAACUCGGAGGAAGGUGGGGAUGACGUCAAAUCAUCAUGCCCCUUAUGUCUUGGGCUUCACGCAUGCUACAAUGGCCGGUACAAAGGGUUGCGAUACUGUGAGGUGGAGCUAAUCCCAAAAAGCCGGUCUCAGUUCGGAUUGAGGUCUGCAACUCGACCUCAUGAAGUCGGAGUCGCUAGUAAUCGCAGAUCAGCAACGCUGCGGUGAAUACGUUCCCGGGCCUUGUACACACCGCCCGUCAAGUCACGAAAGUUGGUAACACCCGAAGCCGGUGGCCUAACCCCUUGUGGGAGGGAGCCGUCGAAGUGACUGCGUU